AGCAGCCGCGGUAAUUCCAGCUCCAAUAGCGUAUAUUAAAGUUGUUGCAGUUAAAAAGCUCGUAGUUGAAUUUCGGGAUCAAUAUGUUGGUCGUGCCUUGGUACGUACUGGCAUUAUCGAUUCCUACCUUCUGAAGAACCUCGAUGUCAUUAAUUUGGUGUCUUGGGGAAUCAGGACUGUUACUUUGAAAAAUUAGAGUGUUUAAAGCAGGCUCGCGCUUGAAUACAUUAGCAUGGAAUAAUGAAAUAGGACGUUUGAUUCUAUUUUGUUGGUUUCUAGGAUCAACGUAAUGAUUAAUAGGGAUAGUUGGGGGCAUUAGUAUUCAAUUGUCAGAGGUGAAAUUCUUGGAUUUAUUGAAGACUAACUACUGCGAAA
rnacentral:rRNA from 1 species